rnacentral:rRNA from 1 species
CACGUAGGGGGCGAGCGUUGUCCGGAUUUAUUGGGCGUAAAGAGCUCGUAGGCGGCUCAGUAAGUCAGGUGUGAAAACUCCAGGCUCAACCUGGAGACGCCACCUGAUACUGCUGUGGCUAGAGUCCGGUAGGGGAGCAUGGAAUUCCUGGUGUAGCGGUGAAAUGCGCAGAUAUCAGGAGGAACACCAGUGGCGAAGGCGGUGCUCUGGGCCGGAACUGACGCUGAGGCGCGAAAGCGUGGGGAGCGAACAGG